GACGAACGCUGGCGGCGUGCUUAACACAUGCAAGUCGAACGGAAAGGCCCUGCUUUUGUGGGGUGCUCGAGUGGCGAACGGGUGAGUAACACGUGAGUAACCUGCCCUUGACUUUGGGAUAACUUCAGGAAACUGGGGCUAAUACCGGAUAGGAGCUCCUGCUGCAUGGUGGGGGUUGGAAAGUUUCGGCGGUUGGGGAUGGACUCGCGGCUUAUCAGCUUGUUGGUGGGGUAGUGGCUUACCAAGGCUUUGACGGGUAGCCGGCCUGAGAGGGUGACCGGGCACAUUGGGACUGAGGUACGGCCCAGACUCCUACGGGAGGCAGCAGUGGGGAAUAUUGCACCAUGGGCGGAAGCCUGAUGCAGCAACGCCGCGUGCGGGAUGACGGCCUUCGGGUUGUAAACCGCUUUCGCCUGUGACGAAGCGUGAGUGACGGUAAUGGGUAAAGAAGCACCGGCUAACUACGUG
rnacentral:rRNA from 1 species